rnacentral:hammerhead_ribozyme from 1 species
AUCCAACUAACGAAUCCCAAAUAGGACGAAACGCGCGUUAAACUGGAU